rnacentral:rRNA from 1 species
AACGAACGCUGGCGGCAGGCCUAACACAUGCAAGUCGAGCGAGGACUUCGGUUCUAGCGGCGGACGGGUGAGUAACGCGUGGGAAUGUGCCCUUCUCUACGGAAUAGCCCUGGGAAACUGGGAGUAAUACCGUAUACGCCCUAUUGGGGAAAGAUUUAUCGGAGAAGGAUCAGCCCGCGUUGGAUUAGGUAGUUGGUGGGGUAAUGGCCUACCAAGCCGACGAUCCAUAGCUGGUUUGAGAGGAUGAUCAGCCACACUGGGACUGAGACACGGCCCAGACGCGGCGGGGGGGCGGCGGGGGGGAAUCGUAAGGGAGGGGGGGAGACUUGGGCUAGGCGGGGGGCGUGGGUGAGGAGGGGCGAGGGUUUGUAAAGUGCUUGCAGCGGGGAACAGAACGACGGAACAGGGAGAAGAAGCCCCGGCAAACCCCGAGACAGCCGCCGCGGUAAGACGGGGAAGAGCAAACGUCCAACC